AUAGAUAUAAGAAGAUGUAGUAUGAGUGCCAAUGAGACAACUCUCCAUCCAUGUCACAAUUUGUAAAUUUUAAACAAUUAUAAUUCAAAGUACAGUCUUAAAAAUGGAGCAUUGGCUCACACCGAACAGCAAGAUCUAAAGGGCCCCAACAAUGACUAGUGUUAAACCAUUCAAACAGAACAAUGAAAAUAAAAUGAGAAAUGAGAAACACUUAUGAACCACAUCAACAAAUGACAACCACUAAACUUCAGGUUCCUAACCUCACAUUCUUAAAUCUUUAAUAAUGUUUAAGUUAUGAGAUACUUCAAGUAUCAUACUUGUAGUAAAACUAUAUCUUUAGGAUUAUCAAGGUAAAAUAAAAUUUGAAAAAAGUAAUACAGGCC
rnacentral:lncRNA from 1 species